rnacentral:rRNA from 2 species
CAACAGGGAUUCCCCUAGUAACGGCGAGUGAAGCGGGAACAGCUCAAAUUUGAAAUCUGGCCCUUGGGUCCGAGUUGUAAUUUGCAGAGGAUGCUUUUGGUGCGGUGCCUUCCGAGUUCCCUGGAACGGGACGCCUUAGAGGGUGAGAGCCCCGUACGGUUGGCCACCAAGCCUGUGUAAAGCUCCUUCGACGAGUCGAGUAGUUUGGGAAUGCUGCUCAAAAUGGGAGGUAUAUUUCUUCUAAAGCUAAAUACUGGCCAGAGACCGAUAGCGCACAAGUAGAGUGAUCGAAAGAUGAAAAGCACUUUGAAAAGAGGGUUAAAUAGCACGUGAAAUUGUUGAAAGGGAAGGAUUUAUGACCAGACUUUUUCUGGGGGGAUCAUCCGGUGUUCUCACCGGUGCACUUCCCCCAGUUGAGGCCAGCAUCGGUUUCUGCCGGGGGAUAAAAGCUUCGGGAAUGUGGCUCCUUCGGGAGUGUUAUAGCCCGUUGCAUAAUACCCUGGCGGGGACCGAGGUUCGCGCAUUGCAAGGAUGCUGGCGUAAUGGUUAUUAAUCACCCGUCUUGAAACACGGACCAAGGAGUCGAACAUUUGUGCGAGUGUUUGGGUGUUAAACCCUCACGCGUAAUGAAAGUGAACGGAGGUGAGAGCCCCUCGGGGUGCAUCAUCGACCGAUCCUGAUGUCUUCGGAUGGAUUUGAGUAAGAGCAUAACUGUUCGGACCCGAAAGAUGGUGAACUAUGCGUGGAUAGGGUGAAGCCAGAGGAAACUCUGGUGGAGGCUCGCAGCGGUUCUGACGUGCAAAUCGAUCGUCAAAUCUGCGCAUGGGGGCGAAAGACUAAUCGA